rnacentral:rRNA from 1 species
AUGUGGAUUUGGGAGGAUUCCGGUGCAGUUGGUUUUCCGAGAUCGCGCAGAGAUACCCAACUUGUCAGACAGACUUUCAACCAUGAGGAAGCGGAGGUGAUCCUGAAGAUUCCAAUAUACCAGCAGCACGAGGAUUUCAUAGCUUGGCAGUUUGACAGCAAGGGUUGCUUCUCGGUUCAAUCAGCCUACAGGAUUUAUUGUGAGUUGCAGCUGUAG